GAUCUAUAUAGUAUGAAUGAAAACUCGCAUUCUGUGGUGGGACCAUGGGUUGGUAAAUCUGUGUCGAUUCCCUGUGACACCACAUGUAUUGUCCAGUAUAACCAUUGUCUUCGGCGCUUUCGAUAUAAGUUACCUAAAAAGUAUAUGUCCGUUAAAUUGUUUUCCGAAAAUAAGCAACAAUAAUACCUCUUCAAUAACAAUAUCUUUUAAUUGGAUGAAGAAUUUUUUUUAAUUUAGUUUUCUAUAGUGGUCCCUACAUCAAAGUUUUGGCUAAUUUGAUUUGGAACUCGUAACGAACGGUAUAUAUAUUGUAAGAUUAAGGCUCGCGGGUAUUAACACGGGGGAGGUAAUUAUAUGUACAUACAGGUGAGUAUACAGGUGAGUGGUCACUCACCCUGGUCAUUCUUAUCGCCACAGGUAUUCAUCCCCAUGGUCACCUAUGGACAUCGGCCUUGUCAAAACAUUGUUCACGCAUAGGUCGACAUCUGUCAAAUACCGUUACAUAAUAAAACGGUCAUGGUUGUGACCCUUAGCAUGUUUACACUCGAACCUAGUACGUGUUAGUAAAAGGACGCCAUAUUGGAUGUAGAUGUCACAAAGUUGUCUGCAGCCUGAACGCAGUAACCAGAUUUAGACUUCAAAGUAAACUGCAUCGUAAACACCAUCAGCAGUGAUAUAGACUUUGCAGUCAUGGAGAAUUCCUACGAUGUUUCGCCCGAGGCCUUGGACAAAAUCCAAAAAAUCGCCCGAGCUGAAAUGUAUGGCAGAUCGCAACUUUUGAAAUUGGACAAUAAACUUAGAGAUCUCGACAAGCGGAUCCGGAAGUACCAAGACCACAAACCUUAUAAACACGUGCUGAAACAAAGGCGCAAAGUGACCUCAGGCGUUCGGAACAUGUUCGCCAAAUACGUCCAGAGAAAGUCCAUACAGGCUACGAAACUUGUCAUUCAAAACUUUGCUGAAACAAUGCUAGCGCGUCAUAGGACGAGUCAAAGCACGAGACCAGUGGCAUCUGAUGACGAAACACCAACGACGAGUGAUCCCAAUGGAGCGGAAACACAAACGAGAGAGUAUUCUCCGGAAAGUGACGGACAUUGAUUGGGAAAAAAAACCUGACGGGCCUUCCGUAUGUUGUUAAAUGAGGUAGUCACCAACUACUACCAGGAGACCCCGCCUGAAAAUGAAAAUGGCUUUUCACGGG